GCCAUUCCUACGAACCAAAGGCCAUAAUCACUCAAUUAUAUAAUAGACAACAUCACAAUCACCAAUCUAUAAUCUUUGCAAGGUGAUUUAAAAAAUGUCAUUGUUCUUGUUCAUCUUCAAAACUUGGGUGGAAAUAUUUUAACAUUAGGAUAUCAUAAAGUUAUGAAUAUAAAAAGAAAAAUUAUGUGAAAGAAUGAAUAAUAUGAUUUGAAUUUUGAUAACACUUACUAUAGCAUUGGCGUGCAAGCACCUUUUACAUUAGAUUAGGUGAUUCUCUAUCAUAAACAGAAAAUAGACAAUAUAUUAGGUGUAGCCGUAUGCUAGAGUUGUGCUAGAUUUGACCUUAGGUACAAAAUUGAUGGUGUACAUUAAUAUGUUAGGCUUAUGUUAAACUUGAAACUUCUCCCUUUGGUUAUUGGUGAAAAAAAAGUUAUUGUUCUUUUUUUGUACAGAUGGGGAAAGAAGAAAAAAAAAUCAAAGAAAACCAAGAAAAAAACACUCUCUUACGUAGUCAAUCCUCAUGGCAUUAGCUUCAAGAAUUGAAGGGAUGCUGGAAGGAGUUCAUGUCAAAGGUAGAUGGAUCGGAUCUCCACCACAUAACAUGGAAAACGGAUAUUUGUAUUAGCAAUAAGGAUGAGAACAUGUAAGGAAUCAAAGUAGCAAACAACAUUCUUAAAAUUUUGUCUCGUGGCUAGCUUUAAACGAUGAUGAAUUGCAGAUAGUUCAACAUGAGUAUUGUUAGAAUCAUCGAGAUAACCGCUAAACUCGUUAAUCCAAAGACAUUCCCUUGUCUGAAAAAUGCCACAAAAAUCAGUUAUGCCAACACCACUUAGAUAACUUCCAUCAACAUCCAACGCAUUACAAUCGAUGCGACAAGGAUGCCACACGAGAAAUCUUGGGAUUGAAAGGGUCCAUUAGCAGCUUGAAAGCACUGAUUCAACAAAGAGACAAGUUUGAAAGUUUCGGAAAUCACCAUGGUAUCGAGGAGGGGCUCUUUCCCGACAAACAUGGCAUUACGCGUCUACCAAUUCCACCAAAGACCAACUAAGAAGAGGGAAACAUUUGGACCAACACCGUUAGACUUGAUCCAAACAACAACACCUACCAUGGAUAUAAAAUAAUAAUAGUAAAACUGAGUAAAUGGCAAAGUUUAAAGGCAUAAGAACAAUCCCUCAAAGAGUGUAAGAUUGUUUCCUAAUGCUGCAAACAACGAUCACAUUAGUUAUCGUGAGCCAUUCUUCUAUGAUGGGGCAUAGAAAUAAUGGGGAUAUAAUGCUUGCAUAUAAGAGUGAGAAUAGGCUAAGUCGAGUUAGACUUUACAAGACCUAAGUUUGGUCUGUCAAAAAAUUUAAAGUCUAGUAUGUGGUUUGUCAUAUGCCUAAUAUUUAAGCUUGAGUCUGACCUUUUGAAAACUUGAUAUAACAUGCUAAUUUGUUUAAUAGCCUAUUUGACUAUUUCAUAUGAAUAUCUUUAAAUAAGUAAUGUGAUCUAAUUUUAAAUAUACUAGCAAGCUAAUAAACUAAAGAGAUUAAACCCCCUUUUGAUAUUUAACAUGUAUUUUUUAGAG
rnacentral:lncRNA from 1 species